UACAGAGGGUGCAAGCGUUAUUCGGAAUUACUGGGCGUAAAGAGCACGUAGGCGGCCUUUCAAGUCCGAUGUGAAAUCCCUGGACUCAAUUCAGGAAGUGCAUCGGAUACUGUUUGGCUAGAGUGUAGGAGGGGUCAGUGGAAUUUCUGGUGUAGAGGUGAAAUUCGUAGAUAUCAGAAGGAACAACAGUGGCGAAGGCGACUGACUGGACUACUACUGACGCUGAGGUGCGAAAGCAUGGGGAGCAAACAGG
rnacentral:rRNA from 1 species